CAAACUAAUUCACAUCUAGGAUGUGUCCUACGGGAAAAUUACGGCCGUCAGGCUUCUCGCGUUUACCCAGUUUACAGUUGGCUGUCUAGUUGUUUUAUACAUUUGAUAUGGUGCGCGUAUUAGUAAUUCGGCAAAGGAAAGGGUUUCAUAAAGACCCAGCGUGUGACCUCAUACGAUAUGUUCGAAUUAUUGGGAUUUUAUUAAAACGGUCACGCCAAUCAUUUCGCUGACGCCGCCGGUCGAUAAUAAAAGUCAACAUUUUCGUCACGUCGUGUAACACGAAACGUUUUAAAACGCGUAGCUAUUACUUACAGAUCGCUACAGCGGUAUUUGUUCUAUAUAUAUUAUUAAAUAACAUAGACUCUAUAUUUAUGGAGUGAUAUUUUUUCAUCGGUUUUU